rnacentral:pre_miRNA from 1 species
AAUGGGAUAGCUGGGUCAAAUGGUGGUUCCAGUGCAAGUUUUCUAAGGAAUCUCAAUACUGCUUUCUAGACUGGUUACACCAAUUCGCAGUCCCACCAGCAAU